CCUACGGGAGGCAGCAGUAGGGAAUAUUGGGCAAUGGAGGCAACUCUGACCCAGCCAUGCCGCGUGCAGGAUGAAGGCGUUAUGCGUUGUAAACUGCUUUUAUAUAGGAAGAAAUAGACCUUGCGAGGUAAGUUGACGGUACUAUAUGAAUAAGCACCGGCUAACUCCGUGCCAGCAGCCGCGGUAAUACGGAGGGUGCAAGCGUUGUCCGGAUUUAUUGGGUUUAAAGGGUGCGUAGGCGGUUUACUAAGUCAGUGGUGAAAGACGGUCGCUCAACGAUUGCAGUGCCAUUGAUACUGGUAGACUUGAGUGUGAUUGAGGUAGCUGGAAUGGAUAGUGUAGCGGUGAAAUGCAUAGAUAUUAUCCAGAACACCAAUUGCGUAGGCAAGUUACUAAGUCACAACUGACGCUGAGGCACGAAAGUGUGGGUAUCAAACAGGAUUAGAUACCCUGGUAGUCCACACUGUAAACGAUGAUAACUAACUGUUGGCUUUUGGGUCUAGUGUAGAGAGAAAGUAGUUAAGUUAGUUACACCGUCGGGUAGGUACGGUUCCGGCGACGGUUAGGAAACGUAACGAAGGAAGUUAGACGGCGUUGAGACGUUGCCGACGGACGACGACGAGGGAGGAGG
rnacentral:rRNA from 1 species